rnacentral:rRNA from 1 species
ACAGCAGCCGCCGCGGGAAAACGGAGGGAGCUAGCGUUGUUCGGAAUUACUGGGCGUAAAGCGCACGUAGGCGGCUACUCAAGUCGGGGGUGAAAGCCCGGGGCUCAACCCCGGAACUGCCCUCGAAACUAGGUAGCUAGAAUCUUGGAGAGGUCAGUGGAAUUCCGAGUGUAGAGGUGAAAUUCGUAGAUAUUCGGAAGAACACCAGUGGCGAAGGCGACUGACUGGACGAGUAUUGACGCUGAGGUGCGAAAGCGUGGGGAGCAAACAGGAUUAGAUACCCCGGUAGUCCCUGUCUCUUAUAC